AGGCAGGGUGACCUCUGCUAAGGAUCCCAGGACAGGGUUUUCUUGUGAGAAAAAGGACAAGGGUGUGAGGGAAUCUGCCCAGAGGGUAGAGCCAGCCUCUACUAUUCUGCUAGGACCAAACUCCUCCUGAAGUUCAUGAGGACUGCUACAUAGAGGAACUUGGUGGAGUAGGGACUUUUUGGCCAAAAAAAAAAAAAAAAGCUGAGUCAGGCCCCUCUGGGACUGUAGUGAAGGAGCCCUUUUCUGCCCUCACCCAAAAGAACCCCCACCCAUCCCCCACUUCUCACUGAGGAGGUGGAGGGGUGACAAGGGACUGGACAAGACGCCCCGCAGACUCUCUAGCCAUUCUCGCUGUUCCUUUUCAGUGGGGCAGGUGAAGAUGAAUUUCCGCUCCGGAGUGAUGACGAAAAACCUGGCCCAGCUCAAAAGCAUCCUGAAAAUGGAAGGCAUAGAGUCAUCAGAGGCCUUGGGGCAGAAGAGCCCUUGCAGCCUGGCCAGUCCCAAGGUCAAGUUUGGUAAAGAGGUGUACGUGGUCCAAAGGUUAGGACUGAAUGGCCUGGGCACAGGAGUGACCUAGAACUGUACAUCUGACCCAAACAGGUCACCUGGAGCUCUGGGUUGCUCUGAGCUGUAUAGGCCAAAAGUUAGAGACCGACUGGAAGCCCUCCCUGGUGCUUGCUGGGCAGGACAGCAAGCACCUGCAAGAGGAUUCGCGGCCAGCUGCAGUUAUUAGUCAGCCUGAGAGAAAGAUGGCUGACAAGAGCCAUGAGAGUAUAGACCCAGUCACACAUGAGUCCCCGGUGUGGCUUCUCCAUCCUUCUCCUUUUCCUUGGUCAUGUUUGAGCUCCUGGUAUUAUGAUCUUCUUCUUUUUCUUCCCUCUUGUUUCCUCUUUUAUAAAAAAAAUAUACAUUUAUU
ensembl:antisense Adap2os ArfGAP with dual PH domains 2, opposite strand